AUGGUGGUGGAUGCACUUGCAGCCAUCCUGGACUAGGCUAAGGCGGCGGGCCAUAUUCAUGGGGUCGCUCCCCACUUGGCCGGUGGCGCCGGCAUCUCCCUGCUCCAGUACGCCGACGACACCAUCAUCAUGGUCGAAGGCUCGGACGCGGACAUCGCUAACCUUAAGUUCCUCCUCUACUUCCAACAAAUGUCUGGCCUCAAGAUCAACUUCGAUAAGAGUGACGUGAUGGUGAUGGGCCACUCUCCGGCCGAGGCCCUCGACAUCGCCAACCGCCUGAACCGCCGCCUAGGCGCCUUCCCCACCACCUACCUGGGAACGCCCAUUAGUGACUCUCGGCUUACUGUUGCUGACCUGCGACCGACGGUGGCCAAGUUACAAACGCGCAUUGAGCCUUGGCAGGGGCGGUGGCUGUCAAAGGAGGCCCGGACGAUUCUCAUCAACUCCUCGCUCUCCAGCCUCCUCUUGUUCCUCAUGAGCUUCUACAGCCUCCACGAGACUCUCCACCAUGAGAUCGCCAAGGUCUAAUCCCGCUUCUAUUGGGCCGGGGACAAUAACAAACAGAAAUACCAUAUGGUUAGUUGGCCCGACAUCUGUAAGCCUCAGGAACAAGGUGGCCUUGGUAUCAUGUGCUCGAAGCGCAUGAAUAUCGCCCUCCUUUCCCGCUGA
rnacentral:rRNA from 1 species